GCUUAACACAUGCAAGUCGAGCGAUAAUCGUUUAUUGAAGGCUUCGGCUGGAAAUAGAUGAGGAAAGCGGCGAACGGGUGAGUAACGCGUGGGCAACCUGGCCUUAAGAAAAGGAUAGCCCCCGGAAACGGGGAGUAAUACUUUAUGAGAAUGAGAGAGGGCAUCCUACUUUCAUUCAAAGCGCAAGCGCUUAAGGAUGGGCCCGCGUAUCAUUAGCUAGUUGGUGAGAUAACAGCCCACCAAGGCAACGAUGAUUAGCCGGUCUGAGAGGGCGAACGGCCAAAUUGGAACUAAGAGACGUUCCAAACUCCUACGGGAGGCAGCAGUGGGGAAUAUUGCGCAAUGGAGAAGAACUCUGACGCAGCAAUACCGCGUGAGCGGAGAAGGUCUUCGGAUCGUAAAGCUCUGUUAUCAGGGAAGAAGAAAAUGACGGUACCUGAUGAGCAAGUCCCGGCUAACUACGUGCCAGCCGCCGCAGUAA
rnacentral:rRNA from 1 species